AUAUAUCCAACGUCCUUACGCGUAACAAAGCCAUAUAUGCCUGUUGGACCUUCAAACCAUUUGGACAGCCAUUCUCAAACCAUUUGUUCUGCAUUGGCUGAGACAGUUCUCUCCAUGAAUUAAUUUAACCAGAUAUAUCAUUCGCAAUUUCUUUGAGCUGUCUGUCUGUUUUGCACUUUCUUGCUCUGUUUUUCAGUGACAGUCUAAUAUUUUGAAUGAUAAGCCGAAAUAGAAGAAGGCUGACACCAUCUGAAGUAAAAGAGCCUCCAUUCAUGCGAAUCGGCUGGACGAUAAUAUCCGUUGAUCAUGCAUUAUUCGUUCUGCCACAGCCACUCCCUGCUCACCCACUAUUUUACAAACGUAUUUCGUCUCUCUACCAACAAUUCUCAGUGACAUGCAAUCAGAAUGUAGAUCAUUGACUAAUUACAGUCACUGGGAGUUGUUGAAAGACGUCCGUAAUGAGAUACUUGUCGGACAAGGGUACAGACAUGGAAAUGAUGGGCAGCAUAACUAAGCGGCAAAGGCAGGAAUAGUCCUGAGAGUGAGAGAAACAUUUGUGAAUGCCAAGAAUAUUGCAACCUACCCAUCCUUUUUCGUACUAAAUAUUAAAGGUAAAGCACUAAGGCCAGCGCCAGAGGGAACCCUUUUGUUUUUGGACGAAUAAACAUGAAGACUGUUGAGAAUUGAGAAAUUGGCGCAAAAGAAGAAGAAAGUCUAUAUAUCCUCUCUUCAAAGUCUUGAAAUUAUCUUUGAAAUCAUUUUAAUUAUUAGAAAGAUGAAGGAGUUGCUCUUUUUGGCAAUAAGGGAUGAAUCCACCGCCUAUCUUAUAUACAAUUGAAAAUAAUAUUCAUCUCUAUUCAUCUCUUAAGUUAUUAUAUUUAGAUUAUAUUCCAAA